rnacentral:rRNA from 1 species
UACGAAGGGGGCUAGCGUUGUUCGGAAUUACUGGGCGUAAAGGGCGCGUAGGCGGCACAUUUAGUCAGGCGUGAAAGCCCCGGGCUCAACCUGGGAAUUGCGUUUGAAACUGAUGAGCUUGAGGACCGGAGAGGAUAGUGGAAUUCCCAGUGUAGAGGUGAAAUUCGUAGAUAUUGGGAAGAACACCAGUGGCGAAGGCGGCUAUCUGGACGGUUACUGACGCUGAGGCGCGAAAGCGUGGGGAGCAAACAGG